UAAAGUUGUUGCAGUUAAAAAGCUCGUAGUUGAAUUUCGGAAUCAAUAUGUUGGUCGUGCCUUGGUACGUACUAAUUUAUUGGUUUCUUCCUUCUGACGAACCAUUAUGUCAUUAAUUUGGUGUCUUGGGGAAUCAGGACUGUUACUUUGAAAAAAUUAGAGUGUUUAAAGCAGGCUCACGCUUGAAUACAUUAGCAUGGAAUAAUGAAAUAGGACGUUUGAUUCUAUUUUGUUGGUUUCUAGGAUCGACGUAAUGAUUAAUAGGG
rnacentral:rRNA from 1 species